CCUACGGGAGACAGCAGUGAGGAAUAUUGGUCAAUGGACGAGAGUCUGAACCAGCCAAGUAGCGUGAAGGAUGACUGCCCUAUGGGUUGUAAACUUCUUUUAUAUGGGAAUAAAACGUUCCACGUGUGGGAUUUUGUAUGUACCAUAUGAAUAAGGAUCGGCUAACUCCGUGCCAGCAGCCGCGGUAAUACGGAGGAUCCGAGCGUUAUCCGGAUUUAUUGGGUUUAAAGGGAGCGUAGGUGGAUUGUUAAGUCAGUUGUGAAAGUUUGCGGCUCAACCGUAAAAUUGCAGUUGAAACUGGCAGUCUUGAGUACAGUAGAGGUGGGCGGAAUGCGUGGUGUAGCGGUGAAAUGCUUAGAUAUCACGAAGAACUCCGAUUGCGAAGGCAGUUCACUGGACUGCAACUGACACUGAGGCUCGAAAGUGUGGGUAUCAAACAGGAUUAGAUACCCCAGUAGUC
rnacentral:rRNA from 1 species